CAUCAGUGGAUUAAUAAACCGAUGAGUAUAGCAUCCAAUGAUCCAAUCACCUUUCUUUCUUUCUUUUUUUUUGGUACCAGGGAUUGAACUGGGAUCCUUGUGCUUGCACACCGGGCGGCGAAACCACUGAGCUAAAUUCCCGGACCCCAAUCACCUUUCAAUAGCCCACUUCUGAACACAAAACUUUCAGGGCUACAUUUUAGGUCUGAACCAUAACAGUGACGGAGAACUGACUAACACAGUCGCCAUGGCGCCUGGGCCAAAUGGGUGCUCGGAAUUCAACACCAUCCACAGGAAUACAGAGGAAAUCUAAACUCCUGUCACAGGCACCGUUCCUGGCAGUCAAGCAGGCCUGGAAUCCGGUGGCCAUCAGAGUCGGAAGGGGUCCCCGAGGCCAGCCAUGAAGGGAGUGGUUCUGUCCUGUCACACAACCCUGCCAGGAUGUGCUGCCCUGCCAUAGCCUAAAAGCAACAGCCAACUGACUGUGGGUUGGAGCCUCUGAAACCAUGAGCUACUUGAGAGCACAACUGCUUUAACAUGUCUCCUCCGGGACUUCAGCAAUGUGACCUUCCAGAGGCCUGAUUCUAAGACACCUUUCCCAGGUGCCAGGAGUGCUUGGGCUCAUGAAGAAUGUAACCUUAUUUCCAGCUUCAAAAAAGCUGAUUGGACAACCCCAGGCCUUUCCAAUGAUUGGUUUAGAAGUGGACAUGUGACUCAAGUUUGGCCAAUGAGAAGUGGGAGGAAGUUUGCCAGAUGUCUCCUAGAGAGUUGUCUUUGCUUCCACAUAAGAGUCAGUCUGGAAAUUUCUGAGUCUGCAAGUGCUGGCUAGAUUAAAGAUGCUGCUACAGUCUUGCUACUGAGCAGGUGGCACAACCCAUCAAGGUGACAGUGGAGUGAUGAUGAAAAGGACUGGAUCCCGAGUGAUACUGUCAAGCAGUUGAGUGUACUGAAUGCCACCCAACCUCUAGACCUCCAGUUAUGAGAAAGAAUAAUUUUCAUUAUGAGUGUUCUGAGAUUCCAAGGUUGAGUGAACUGCUGUGGUCAUCCAUAGGAAGUGCCAGAGACUGGACUGAAACCCACAUUUUCCCACUCCUGGCUCACCUUCUGUGCUCCUCUAUCCCAAAGUGACAAUUUUACUUUUCUGGAAUUAUCUUCAGGAUUU
rnacentral:lncRNA from 1 species